rnacentral:rRNA from 1 species
CCUACGGGGGGCUGCAGUAGGGAAUAUUGCUCAAUGGGGGAAACCCUGAUGCAGCAACGCCGCGUGGAGGAUGAAGGUUUUCGGAUUGUAAACUCCUUUUGUUAGAGACGAUAAUGACGGUAUCUUACGAAUAAGCACCGGAUAACUCCGUGCCAUCAGCCGAGGUACUACGGAGGGUGGAAGCGUGACUCGGACGCACGGGGCGUAAAGAGCGCGUAGGGGUGAUAGCAUGUCAGAUGUGAAAUCCUAUGGCUUAACCAUAGAACUGAAGUUGAAACUGUUAUUCUAGAGUAUGGGAGGGGUAGGUGGAAUUCUUGGUGUAGGGGUAAAAUCCGUAGAGAUCAAGAGGAAUACUGAUGGCGAAGGCGACCUGCUAGAACAUAACUGACGCUGAGGCGCGAAAGCGUGGGGAGCGAACAGGAUUAGAUACCCGGGUAGUC